GUUCGUGCUGGUGACGUCCAUCCGCCGAUGACCAAGAAGACAACCGCUGGUUGCCUGGCUUCAUAGAGGAGUGUUCCUGUGUUCCUGUCUCCCUGGUGGAUGAGAGAACGCAUUGCAGUCUGAUGGAUCAACAACAGAUGUGAUGUCACAAGGAUAAUGGCUACCAAGGAUCAUGGAAGGAGGACGAGGGUGUCUUAUGGUCUGAGGAUGCACGUUUCCAGUACGGAGUCCAAU